rnacentral:Y_RNA from 1 species
GGCUGGUCCAAAGGUAGUGAGUUAUCUCAAUUGAUAGUCAGUUACAGAUUGAAUUCCUUGCUCUACUCUUUCCCCCCUUCUCACUACUACAUUCAGCUAGUCCAAC